rnacentral:tRNA from 1 species
GCCUGGGUGGCUCAGUCGGUUAAGCGUCUGACUUCAGCUCAGGUCAUGAUCUCACGGUUGGUGGGUUCGAGCCCCGCGUCAGGCU